rnacentral:tRNA from 1 species
UCUGAAGUAGUUUAAAAAAAACAUUUAACCGUUAAUUAACAAAAUGCUUACAAACUAAGCCUACAGAG